rnacentral:rRNA from 1 species
CCUACGAGGGGCAGCAGUGGGGAAUAUUGGGCAAUGGGCGCAAGCCUGACCCAGCAACGCCGCGUGAAGGAAGAAGGCUUUCGGGUUGUAAACUUCUUUUAAGGGGGAAGAGCAGAAGACGGUACCCCUUGAAUAAGCCACGGCUAACUACGUGCCAGCAGCCGCGGUAAUACGUAGGUGGCAAGCGUUGUCCGGAUUUACUGGGUGUAAAGGGCGUGCAGCCGGGGAGACAAGUCAGAUGUGAAAUCCACGGGCUCAACCCGUGAACUGCAUUUGAAACUGUUUCCCUUGAGUGUCGGAGAGGUAAUCGGAAUUCCUUGUGUAGCGGUGAAAUGCGUAGAUAUAAGGAAGAACACCAGUGGCGAAGGCGGAUUACUGGACGAUAACUGACGGUGAGGCGCGAAAGCGUGGGGAGCAAACAGGAUUAGAUACCCCUGUAGUC